GGUCUCACUCUGUCACCCAGGCUGGAGUUCAGUUGUGCAAUCAUGGCUCACUGCAUCAUCAAUCUCCUGGGUCUAAGUGAUCCUCCUCACUUCAGCCUCCGGAGUACCUGGGACCAUAGUGUCAGCUUAAUUUUGUGUAAAUAGUCUGGAAACAUGAUUUUCAUCACAGCAAGCAAAACUUGUAUAGACAUGUUUGUAAGAGGAUAUUUAUACACCACCCCAGGAUGCUCUUUCUCAACUGACAUCACCUGCAUUUAGUCCAUUUCAGUUCUUCCAUGGCUUUAUGUUUUCAAAUCAACCUGCCUGGACUCAAAAGCAGACAAAACCCAGAAGUAAACAGCAGAUAGAGAUGGAAAAAGCUCCAGAAGAAUUUCUCUCCUACAGAUUUAAGAGGAGAAAAUGAGACUCCUAAGUGUCAUAAAGAAUGUGUGUAGGUGGGAUAUCCUCUUUUUUUCUUCUGUUCUUUCCCAUCCAGCCCCAAGACAAUAAUAUGAUGGCAUGGUAGAGGUGAAGAUAAUGGGAGCAGUGGCUCUAGGGACCCCUCUAUGUGAAGAGAAUAUAUUCUGGCCAGGGGAGCUGUACUCACAAAAGUGACUUUAUUAUUAAAGUGCUGAAAAAAAGAGA